CAGAGGGUGCAAGCGUUGUUCGGAAUUACUGGGCGUAAAGCGCGCGCAGGCGGAUCCUGCAAGUCAGAAGUGAAAUCUCACUGCUCAACGGUGAGGCUGCUUUUGAUACUGCGGUUCUGGAGACCGGUAGAGGCUGGUAGAAUUGCAGGUGUAGCGGUGGAAUGCGUAGAGAUCUGCAUGAAUACCCGUGGCGAAGGCGGCCAGCUGGGCCGGUUCUGACGCUGAGGCGCGAAAGCGUGGGGAGCAAACAGGAUUAGAUACCCUGGUAGUCCACGCCGUAAACGAUGGGCACUAGGUGCUGGGGGGAGCGACCCCGUCAGUGCCGCAGCUAACGCGAUAAGUGCCCCGCCUGGGGAGUACGGCCGCAAGGCUG
rnacentral:rRNA from 1 species